UUACGUUCUACAAAUGAGAUUCUAACAAGGAAAACAGAAAUGCAUGACCAAAUGUUCAGGAUGCUUUUUGCUGAGAUGGGCAGAGAGCUACCGGAAUGGUUCCAACAAGGUCGAACCCAAGCUCAUACCCAGGGGAACACAGACUUGGAGGAUGCUGCUAUGGAUGACCUUGUUGGUCAUGGAAACAAUGGAGGCAGCAAUGAUGGUGAGAACAUUUGUGGUGAUAGCAACGACUUUGUCUACAAUGAAGAUGGUGAU